rnacentral:rRNA from 1 species
GCUCGUGCCGUGAGGUGUCGGCUUAAGUGCCAUAACGAGCGCAACCCUUAUCUUCAGUUACUAACAGGUCAUGCUGAGGACUCUGGAGAGACUGCCGUCGUAAGAUGUGAGGAAGGUGGGGAUGACGUCAAAUCAGCACGGCCCUUACGUCCGGGGCUACACACGUGUUACAAUGGGGGGUACAGAAGGCCGCUACCUGGUGACAGGAUGCCAAUCCCAAAAACCUCUCUCAGUUCGGAUCGAAGUCUGCAACCCGACUUCGUGAAGCUGGAUUCGCUAGUAAUCGCGCAUCAGCCAUGGCGCGGUGAAUACGUUCCCGGGCCUUGUACACACCGCCCGUCAAGCCAUGAAAGCCGGGGGUACCUGAAGUACGUAACCGCAAGGAGCGUCCUAGGGUAAAACUGGUAAUUGGGGCUAAGUCGUAACAAGGUAGCCGUACCGGAAGGUGCGGCUGGAUCACCUC